rnacentral:rRNA from 1 species
UACGGGGGGGGCAAGCGUUGUUCGGAAUUACUGGGCGUAAAGGGCUCGUAGGCGGCCAACUAAGUCAGACGUGAAAUCCCUCGGCUUAACCGGGGAACUGCGUCUGAUACUGGAUGGCUUGAGUUCGGGAGAGGGAUGCGGAAUUCCAGGUGUAGCGGUGAAAUGCGUAGAUAUCUGGAGGAACACCGGUGGCGAAGGCGGCAUCCUGGACCGCCACUGACGCUGAGGAGCGAAAGCCAGGGGAGCAAACGGG